rnacentral:lncRNA from 1 species
AAAUCGCCAACACUUAUUUCCAUUUUAUCAACAAGUUUAUAUUAUAUAGUUACAUCACUACCUGCUCAGGGUACAGUGAUGAUCGCAUUUCAUUCUCCAAACCGCUCAUUUAGUAAUUCAACUAAUCUAACAUUAAGACUUUCCAAGUGAUUUCAUUGUAAGACUUCUGGACUUGUUGAGCGACACAAGAUUAAUGACUUCCUUUAAUAAAGUUGAAAUGCAGAGGCAGAGCAAAUGAGGGAAAAAGAACAGAAGACAGAUUGUUCAAGAGGUUGGGCUUAUCAGCUGGGGCUAACAUGGCAAUGUAAGAUAGGAUAAGGAAAAUUUUUCUGGAGUUUAAUGGGGAAUCAGGGCAGUAAAAUCUGAAACUAAUGGUUACUAAUAGCCAAAAGCUAAUCUAUAUUUGAGUUAAGAUGGAAUAGGAUGAUAACUUCCCAUAAUUACAAUGGUGGCUGAGGACAGGAAUAAGACUGGGUUAUUGGUAGGUUUUUUUAAUGGACGAUAGGUGUAUUGUAAUUUUGUUAUGGAUUCAAAUUUGGCUUAUGAUUGAAUUGUGGAGGACCAUCCAAAGAAGAGGUACUUUGGUAGGAAGUUAGGCUAGAGGCUAAGGUUUAUUAUCCUAUGUUUUAGAGAGAUUAGGAUGAGAAUGAACAAACCCUUGUCUCUCAAACUAGUAUUCAAGUAAAUAGAAACCUCUCAAGUUAAUUGAACUUUAUUCUCUCCAAAAAAAGGGAUUCCGGAAUGAAAUAUAAGGAGGUUUAGUGCCUUGACUUGAGAAAACUUGGCUCCAAUGAAUCAAAAGGACCCAACUCUUGGCAUCGGACAUCCUCAUCCAAAAUCAUGUGCCAGAAGAGAAAGGAUGUUAUAGAAUCGCCUAUUGCGAUGCUUCAACUCUCUAAUUUGAAAACUUUGGAAAGGAAGGCACUUUCCUUGCUCGUUUUUUGUUCUCAUCUACAUGGUUGGCCACAAUAGAUGGCCAAAUCUUGAAUGUCAAAUGUAAUUCUAACAUUAGACUAAACAAUUCCAAAAAUAUGGGCAUUAGCAAACAGUUUCUUCAGAUAGGUUAAAUAAACAAGCACUAUGAGAAUGAAACUAUUGAUAUUUGCACUUGAGAGAUCCUUUUUACCAAAAGUAAACCAUGACCACAUCUCCUAACCAAAACCAACGAACCUUCAACAAACAUCAAUGCAUGCUUUUUAACUUUCUUUUCCAAAGGCCAUCUUUUGCUCAUCUCUUCAUGAAUAUCUUGCAAGAUACAAGUAGAAGAGAUUGCCUC